rnacentral:rRNA from 1 species
UUUUGGGAUGAGCCCGCGGCCUAUCAGCUUGUUGGUGGGGUUAAUGGCCCACCAAGGCGACGACGGGUAGCCGGCUUGAGAGGGCGACCGGCCACACUGGGAUUGAGACACGGCCCAGAUUCUUACGGGAGGCACCAGUGGGGAAUAUUGCACAAUGGGCGAAUGCCUGAUGCAGCGACGCCGCGUGAGGGAUGACGGCCUUCGGGUUGUAAACCUCUUUCAUCAGGGAGCGAAGCGAACUGACGGUACCUGCAGAUGAUUUUGCCGCC